CUGAAGUUCGUUCUCUUCUUCCAAAUCUCUCACAAAAAUAGUCGACACCCAUGUCUCUUUUUUCCUCAUUCCUCUCUUCUACCUUCUUCCCCUCUUUCCCCUCACAUCGACCAUGUUUAUUUUUUCAAUCAACCACACAAAUUUCACUCGAUAGUGAAACUACGACUUCAACCUCCAAACAAAGAUGAAGUUGAAAUUUAUUUUCAGGUCCUUUAAUUUUUCCCUUAAUCUUUUCGUUUCUCCUUUCUACUUUUUGGAAAGACCAUGUGGUAUCUUGGUAUUGCUUGAAAAUGAUCGAUAGUGCUUGAAAUCGCUCGACAGUACUUGGAAACCCAUCAGAAUGCUUUUUCUUCCACCUAACAAGAAUAUGGAAGAGCUAUUCUUCAAGUCUCUACAAAAAAAUGAACCUUGAUCCAAGAGGUGACUUACCAAAUGGCAAUUCCACAUGAACAAAAAAACCCAGAAGGCUCUGACUCACAAAGACCUCACAUCGAAAAUUUUGCCGUCUUUUUUGUCAUCUUCGCAAGGUUGUGAAUAUUUGUGGCUAUUGUUGCAGGGUUUUAGAUCCCCAAAAUCUGGUAAGUAUCUAGUUGAUGCUAGUUUUUGGUUUUGUUAGUUAUUGAUUUAUUAUUAUUAUUGUUGUGUAGUAUUGUAAAGUUACUUGAUAUGUUCGCUCAUUGGAGGGGGGAAGGUAUGCAUUCUACUUUGGUCUCAGUCAUUGGAUUUAUUGUCCUUUCAUAUGAGUGUACAUGAACUUUGAGAUGAUGCUUUCUAUUAUUACACCUCCAGUUUUUGUUAGUUUUGUUGUGCCUUAGAGUACUCGAAAAGUGUUAAUGUGGUUGUUGGUUCCUUUGUGAAGUUUCUAUUGAUUUUGCUAAAUAUGUUGAGACCACCAAGCCUUUCUCUACUUCUUAUCCCCUCCAUAAUUCAAAUUCUGCAAUUUUGCAUGUUAGGUUCUCUCACUGUCUUUGUACUUAUUUGCUCAAACAUGUCAGUGUUCAUGUUUCUUGUUUUGUAUAUAAAAUGGUGAAUUAGAGUCUAUGUUUUGUGGUUGUUAUCUUGUAGAACAUUGGGAUUGAUCUGCUCUAUUUGGAGUACACCUUCAGAGAUGUGGAAGAAUCUGAGAGUUUAAAAACUAGAUCUCAAGAUGGGAGUUCGAACAAGAAUGUAAGCCAAAAUAGUCAAAUUGAAUUAAGAUUGUUUCCCAGUACACCAAAUGAAAAUAACUAGGUUCUAAAUGGACCGUGAAUUCUAACAUUUAAACAAAAUUUGAUAUUUACACAUAAUUAAUAUCCAUGUUAUAAAUUUUUAGUUUUCAAUUUAUUAAAUUUAGAAACAUAAAGUUUU